rnacentral:rRNA from 1 species
GACAGAGGAUGCAAGCGUUAUCCGGAAUGAUUGGGCGUAAAGCGUCUGUAGGUGGCUUUUUAAGUCUGCCGUCAAAUCCCAGGGCUUAACCCUGGACAGGCGGUGGAAACUACCAAGCUGGAGUACGGUAGGGGCAGGGGGAAUUUCCGGUGGAGCGGUGAAAUGCGUAGAGAUCAGGAAGAACACCGGUGGCGAAAGCGUUCUGCUAGACCUGUACUGACACUGAGGGACGAAAGCUAGGGGAGCGAAUGGG